rnacentral:rRNA from 1 species
UACGAAGGGAGCUAGCGUUGCUCGGAAUUACUGGGCGUAAAGCGCACGUAGGCGGAUCCUUAAGUCGGUGGUGAAAUCCUGAAGCUCAACUUCAGAACUGCCUUCGAUACUGGGGACCUUGAGUUCGGGAGAGGUGAGUGGAACUGCGAGUGUAGAGGUGAAAUUCGUAGAUAUUCGCAAGAACACCAGUGGCGAAGGCGGCUCACUGGCCCGAUACUGACGCUGAGGUGCGAAAGCGUGGGGAGCAAACAGG